GCCUUGGUGGUGGAAUUGGUAGACACGCGGGACUUAAAAUCCCGUGGCCAUUUGGCCUUGCGGGUUCAAGUCCCGCCCGAGGUACCA
rnacentral:tRNA from 1 species